UCCACACACACACAUACUAGUCCCACAGGUACGUAUCCCUGCACACACACGUAUCCCUGGAGCAAGUACUAGCUCCGGGGGUUCGUGCCUGUGGGGUGGGACUAGGACUGACUGCUUGGGUUUUAACAGCUGAUUGGUGUUUGUGUGUAACCCUCCAGGAUUGGCCGUUCGGGGCGCUACGGCCGUAAGGGCGUGGCCAUCAACUUCGUGAAGAACGACGACAUCCGGAUCCUGAGAGACAUCGAGCAGUACUACUCCACGCAGAUCGACGAGAUGCCAAUGAACGUGGCUGACCUGAUCUGACCUGGACAACAUCACAUCGGAGCCCCGCCCAUUUGACUUCCUGUUUCCUGUCUUUUUUUAUUUUAUUUUAAGAGUGUUUCUUAAUUUGCUGAAAAUGACUGUAAGUCUGAUUUUGUAAAUAAAGUUGUUUUGGUUC